rnacentral:rRNA from 1 species
GGCGGACGGGUGAGUAACGCGUAGGAAUCUACCUAAUGGUGGGGGAUAGCCCAGGGAAACUUGGAUUAAUACCGCAUAAGUCCUAAGGGAGAAAGCGGGGGAUCUUCGGACCUCGUGCCAUUAGAUGAGCCUGCGUGAGAUUAGCUAGUUGGUGAGGUAAGAGCUCACCAAGGCGACGAUCUUUAGCUGGUCUGAGAGGAUGAUCAGCCACACUGGGACUGAGACACGGCCCAGACUCCUACGGGAGGCAGCAGUGGGGAAUAUUGGACAAUGGGGGCAACCCUGAUCCAGCCAUGCCGCGUGUGUGAAGAAGGCCUUCGGGUUGUAAAGCACUUUCAGAUGUGAGGAAAGGUUGCAGAUUAAUACUCUGUAGCUGUGACGUUAACAUCAGAAGAAGGACCGGCUAACUCCGUGCCAGCAGCCGCGGUAAUACGGAGGGUCCGAGCGUUAAUCGGAAUUACUGGGCGUAAAGCGCGC